CAGGAUUAGAUACCNUGGUAGUCCACGCCGUAAACGAUGAGUGCUAGGUGUUAGGCCCUUUCCGGGGCUUAGUGCCGGAGCUAACGCAAUAAGCACUCCGCCUGGGGAGUACGACCGCAAGGUUGAAACUCAAAGGAAUUGACGGGGGCCCGCACAAGCGGUGGAGCAUGUGGUUUAAUUCGAAGCAACGCGAAGAACCUUACCAGGUCUUGACAUCCCGAUGCUAUUCUUAGAGAUAGGAAGUUACUUCGGUACAUCGGAGACAGGUGGUGCAUGGUUGUCGUCAGCUCGUGUCGUGAGAUGUUGGGUUAANNNNNNCAACGAGCGCAACCCUUAUUGUUGGUUGCCAUCAUUAAGUUGGGCACUCUAGCGAGACUGCCGGUAAUAAACCGGAGGAAGGUGGGGAUGACGUCAAAUCAUCAUGCCCCUUAUGACCUGGGCUACACACGUGCUACAAUGGUCGGUACAACGAGUUGCGAGCCGGUGACGGCAAGCUAAUCUCUGAAAGCCGAUCUCAGUUCGGAUUGGAGGCAGCAACUCGCCUCCAUGAAGUCGGAAUCGCUAGUAAUCGCGGAUCAGCACGCCGCGGUGAAUACGUUCCCGGGCCUUGU
rnacentral:rRNA from 1 species